rnacentral:rRNA from 1 species
AGUUUGAUCCUGGCUCAGAACGAACGCUGGCGGCAUGCCUAACACAUGCAAGUCGAACGCAAGGCUUCGGCCUUGAGUGGCGCACGGGUGAGUAGCGCGUGGGAACCUGCCCUUCAGUGGGGGAUAACCGAGGGAAACUUCGGCUAAUACCGCAUGCGCCCGGAGCAAUCCGGGGAAAGAUUUAUCGCUGAUGGAGGGGCCCGCGUCGGAUUAGCUAGUUGGUAGGGUAACGGCCUACCAAGGCUUUGAUCCGUAGCUGGUCUGAGAGGAUGAUCAGCCACACUGGGACUGAGACACGGCCCAGACUCCUACGGGAGGCAGCAGUGGGGAAUAUUGGACAAUGGGCGAAAGCCUGAUCCAGCGAUGCCGCGUGAGUGAGGAAGGCCUUAGGGUUGUAAAGCUCUUUCGGCGGGGACGAUGAUGACGGUACCCGCAGAAGAAGCCCCGGCUAACUUCGUGCCAACAGCCGCGGUAAUACGAAGGGGGCGAGCGUUGUUCGGAUUUACUGGGCGUAAAGGGCGCGCAGGCGGUCAUUUUUGUCGAGUGUGAAAGCCCCGGGCUUAACCUGGGAACUGCGCUCGAAACGGGAUGACUAGAGAUCGGGAGAGGAGAGUGGAAUUCCCAGUGUAGAGGUGAAAUUCGUAGAUAUUGGGAAGAACACCGGUGGCGAAGGCGGCUCUCUGGACCGAUACUGACGCUGAGGCGCGAAAGCGUGGGGAGCAAACAGGGUUAGAUACCCUGGUAGUCCACGCUGUAAACGAUGUGUGCUAGACGUUGGGGAGCCUAGCUCUUCGGUGUCGCAGCUAACGCGGUAAGCACACCGCCUGGGGAGUACGGCCGCAAGGUUAAAACUCAAAGGAAUUGACGG